GGUCAAGCUACAAAGGGCAGAUGGUGGAUACCUAGGCA
rnacentral:rRNA from 2 species